rnacentral:rRNA from 1 species
UGGGGAAUAUUGGACAAUGGGCGCAAGCCUGAUCCAGCCAUGCCGCGUGAGUGAAGAAGGCCUUAGGGUUGUAAAGCUCUUUCAGUCGUGACGAUGAUGACGGUAGCGACAGAAGAAGCCCCGGCUAACUCCGUGCCAGCAGCCGCGGUAAUACGGAGGGGGCAAGCGUUGUUCGGAUUUACUGGGCGUAAAGGGCGCGUAGGCGGGGUAUCCAGUUAGGGGUGAAAGCCCGGGGCUCAACCUCGGAACUGCCUUUGAAACUGAUUGUCUUGAGUGCGGGAGAGGGUGACGGAAUUCCCAGUGUAGAGGUGAAAUUCGUAGAUAUUGGGAAGAACACCGGUGGCGAAGGCGGUCACCUGGCCCGCAACUGACGCUGAGGCGCGAAAGCGUGGGGAGCAAACAGGAUUAGAUACCCGCGUAGUCC